UACAGAGGUCUCAAGCGUUUGUUCGGAUUCAUUGGGGCGUAAAGGGUGCGUAGGCGGCGCGGUGAAGUCGGGUGUGAAAUCUUGAGCUAACUCCGAAACUGCAUUCGAUACUGCCGUGCUUGAGGACUGGAGAGGAGACUGGAAUUUACGGUGUAGCGGUGAAAUGCGUAGAUAUCGUAAGGAAGACCAGUGGCGAAGGCGGGUCUCUG
rnacentral:rRNA from 1 species